UGCUCUAGUGGCCUAGUGAUUAGAGCGUCCGCCUCAGAUGCGGGAGAUCAUGGGUUCGACCCCCGGUUGAGUCA